rnacentral:rRNA from 1 species
CCUACGGGAGGCAGCAGUGGGGAAUAUUGGGCAAUGGAGGAAACUCUGACCCAGCGACGCCGCGUGCGGGAUGAAGGCCUUCGGGUUGUAAACCGCUUUCAGUAGGGAAGAAGCGAAAGUGACGGUACCUACAAAAGAAGCACCGGCUAACUAUGUGCCAGCAGCCGCGGUAAUACAUAGGGUGCAAGCGUUGUCCGGAAUUAUUGGGCGUAAAGAGCUCGUAGGUCGUUUGUUACGUCGGAUGUGAAAACCUGAGGCUCAACCUCAGGCCUGCAUUCGAUACGGGCAAACUAGAGUUUGGUAGGGGAGACUGGAAUUCCUGGUGUAGCGGUGGAAUGCGCAGAUAUCAGGAGGAACACCAAUGGCGAAGGCAGGUCUCUGGGCCAAUACUGACACUGAGGAGCGAAAGUCUGGGGAGCGAACAGGAUUAGAUACCCUGGUAGUCCAGACCGUAAACGGUGGGCACUAGUUGUGGGAACCUUCCACGGUUUCUGCGACGCAGCUAACGCAUUAAGUGCCCCGCCUGGGGAGUACGAUCGCAAGAUUAAAACUCAAAUGAAUU